rnacentral:misc_RNA from 1 species
AACAGCAGUGGUCUAUGCUUUAGUGGAGGAUAAAGUGAAACCUGUCGACCUUAGCAACAGGUUCUUCUGAGGCAAUAAUGGCAUUAUUGAUCUUCCUGUGCAUCUUAAUUGAACGAAAUACAUUGAGCCUAUAAUUGAUGUGAUGGUCCUUGCAAACUUGCAUCGCGUUUCUUGGCAUUUUGCUGCCCAUGACAAGCAUAAUCAAAAGAUAAAGGGGGAAGGAGAGAUAAAUGCCAGAUUCCGUCAUCAUAGGUAGCGCAAACCUAAAUUAUAAAGCAAGUUGCCUGCAGUGUAGUACUUGGCAAGCCAAGUUUGUUAUGUUCGCUGUGGAUGCUAACAAGAAAGUUUGUGUACAGCCCCACAACGAUAUUUAAGUGUUAUGUCGUGUAAAGUGGCGUUGCAUAAUAAUUUGAUCAGGUCUUGACUGGA